UGCCUCACCGCCUUUGUGGUAAUAAGGUAGAUAUAAAUAAAUAAAUUGAUUUUUGAGAAAAUGAGGCCAACUCACUAAAUAUGUAAUUUAUAUGUAUAUACACACAUGCAUACAGCUACAAAAACUAUCACUGAAUACCAAUAACUAAAUAUGGCUUGUCCAUGUGGAUACUGUGCCUAAGUGUCUUAUCAAACAAUAGAUCAUAGAAGAAAAAUUGAAAGUAGAGUGCUUUUUGAGUAAAAGAGGGUUAGACAUUAGGACACUACCUUAUAUCUUUGAAUACCUUAUAUCUCUUUGUGUCUUUGAAGAUUUGUUUUUGUAUUAUACUAUUAAUGAAAGAGUAGAACAGAAAGGGGAAUAUGAUCGAAGUUUAUUCUUCCUUGCUCAGAGUGAGGAAAUAGCAGCUUUCAAAAGGUAAAAGCCAAAGAAUCUGAAAGGGGUGGAACAAAAAAGAUUGAUGAUUGGAAUAAAUGGAGAUUUCCUCAAUUUUUUAUUCAGCAGAUAUUUACCAAUGGCCUUUUAUGAACCGUACCCUAAAAGCUUCACAAAGGAAAAGUGAAUAGGCAGAGGAGAAUUUGAUGUUUUUAAAAGACAUAUAUGACCUGAUGUGGAAUUAAUAUACCAGUAUGUGAAAUAUCCAGGAAGAGAAUGUAAGUGGGGAGUGAGGGGUAAAGGUGAGAAUGUGUGGGAAAUGAGAUGGGGGAAAAAUGACAGUUCCAGAAACCAUAUGGGAAGAGAAUAUGAAAUGCAGAAUUGUCUUAGAUAAAAAUGUCAUGAACGUUGGCAAAAUAAUUAGAAGCUGGGCUGCCAGAAAGCAAUGGAAAAGAAUAUGGUUAACAUAAAAAUAUAUUGACAGGCUUGAUGGAGUUAUUGUGAUGAUCACACCUGGAAUUAAGGCAUCAUGGAGGAGCUAACUGGAAUGAGACAGAAGAACUACAAUGGGCACAAUACAGUAUAUAUUGUGAUGAAGGAGGAAGCACACAUUUAUUUUUGGAGCAAGUUGCUGCUGCCAGGGUGAAGAAGCACUGCUGGGGUGAUGCCCAUAGGAACAUGACGCCGACAGGACAGGCAAGUCCCUUCCACUCUACAGCUUCCCUUAGUGCCCCCUGUUGGCAGAGUGUAACAAAGCAGUUGGCAAGGUGGUUCUCAGAAUUCCUGCCCCAUCACAAAGCCCAGCACAGAAGGGUGGGUCUGAAGCAGCACGUGUAGCUUGAUGAUUGGAACAAAAAACAGAGGCUCAGGAAAACAGUUUCAUUAUCUUCCCCCAUAACAGUUCAGUAGAGUUUUAUGCUUAACAGAAGGAAAGACAGAUUUUAAUAUUGGUUUUGGAGGAAGGGACUUGAACAAGUUACAUUUCACUGAUUUCUGCGAAUUCGUUUAAAAUUUAAACUACAGAAUACAUUGGAAAGAAAUAUAGCUUUAGAAUCUCCAAGUACAUACAGAACUGCUUUACUUAGGCAUUACAUAAAUACAAAUGCAUAUUAAUUACCCUGUUCAGUGAGGUAGAAAAAAGACAAUUAAUUGUUUAGCUGCUGAAGAUUCUUUAUUAUUAGGACAGAAGGACAAUUAGCUUUAAAAGCAUUGCUCAGAACAUGUAUUUUUUUCCCCCAAAUGUUGCUUUUUUUUUUUUUCCAAAACAGAACAAACCAAACCCUUUCCCACAAGAACUGCAUUGUGAAGAAAGCAAAUGCUAAGUAGGAAUUAGAAAAAAGAAAACAUGCCCAAAGCCCAUGGGAAUGACAAUUCCUGGUUAACUGUAAGAAACGGGGAAUGUAAUUGAGACAGAUGACCAGAUUUAGGAAAAAUAAACCUCACCAUUAAAAUCUAAUUAAAUAUUUGCAUUUCAGCAUUAAGUUUCUUCUCAAAAGUUUUGUGAGCAGCGGGGUGACAGUGAAGAUUAUUGACUAUAAUUUGCUGAAGUUUUUUAAACUAAAUUAGUUUUGUGCAAUGUAUGGAAGGUUUACUCAGCUGCGCUUAUCCAGCGGCUGCUUUAUUAUUCUUUUAAAGUGAAUCAUUUAUAACUGUUCUCAGAGAUCUUUUAUCAGCCACUUAUCUCCUUCAACUGGACUUGUGAUGCCAAGGGAUAAAAUGAAUUGCCGGCUAAUAUUGUGAGAAUUAAUCAGACCACAACAGCAGGAGAGUAAUGACUUAACUUACAGUCAGAUAUUUGCAUUUGGCAGUAAAAUCACAACAAAAAUAUAAGAAUGUUUAAUCUUUUGCUUUGACUGGAGCACAGGAACACAUUGGCAAUACAAAAGAAAUACAAUAAUCAUGUGUUUUAAUUUUGGGUAUUUACCUGAUCUGAGGGAUUUAUUUAUUCUAGGAAGAAAGCUCUUAUUUGAUGUGAAGAUUUUUUUUUUCUUUCAUUUUGCAGUACCUUAUAUUGGUCUUGUUUCCUGAGGGUUUUUUUUUUUUUUUCUGUUAGAGAUCUUUGGACAGAUGAAGUGAGACUUUUGCCCCUCAUCUCACCUUUCUCCAAAAUAUGCUGGUUCUGUUAUCUUUGUUUCCUUUCUGUCCCUUGGCCCCAUGGUAAGUUAGAAGAAAGGAGUGGUACAACCAAGACCAAGGGUGGCAAUGUUACUGCUGCUGUUCUGUUGAAAUGAUUUCAUUCGCUGCUUGUUCUCUUUUCUUAGACUCUGGCAUUUUCAAAAAAUAGGAUUAGGUUCUUAGUUGCUAUAUAAACACUAAAGAAGGCAUGCAAUGAGAAAUUAUUUCCUGAUUUGAG
ensembl:lncRNA